rnacentral:RNase_P_RNA from 1 species
GAGAGGGAGAGUGCGGCCGACGGUGGCACAUAUGCUGCUGAGGAAAGUCCCCCCACCCUCCGGACACGCAGCCGCAUGCAAGUGCGGAUGGCGAGAGUCAUGGCUCUGGCACAGAAACGACACGCCCCACUGCCAGCGAUGAUGCGACCGAGCCCCAGAGGGGCGAGAAGCGCCACAAGCGCGAGUUAACUCGCUGAGCGUACCAGUGGGAAUCGCUGGAACGGUGAAUCCCUGCGGGUGCAAGCCGGAACAGGACAUAUGGAUCGUCCGGAAUCCGUCCGGGUACGGCGCAAAGCUGAAUGCCGCAACGAACAGAAGGGGGCUUACUCCUCCCACUC